AUCUUUAAAGGGAAGACCUGUGCUCACUUUGGACCGAUACAGAGACUAGCAUGGCCCUGUGCAAGGGGUACACACAAAUUCGUGAAGCAUUCCUAGAAAAA
rnacentral:snRNA from 1 species